rnacentral:rRNA from 1 species
GACGUAGGGCGCAAGCGUUGUCCGGAUUUAUUGGGCGUAAAGAGCUCGUAGGCGGCUCGUUGCGUCGGCUGUGAAAACCCGCAGCUCAACUGUGGGCUUGCAGCCGAUACGGGCGGGCUGGAGUUCGGUAGGGGAGACUGGAAUUCCUGGUGUAGCGGUGAAAUGCGCAGAUAUCAGGAGGAACACCGGUGGCGAAGGCGGGUCUCUGGGCCGAUACUGACGCUGAGACGCGAAAGCGUGGGGAGCGAACAGG